CUCUCCCUCUCUCUCUCUCUCUCUCUCUCUGUGUGAUAGUCGUAGCCGUCACUGCUUCCUAUAUCUCUCUCCUGUUCACUCCCUAAUCCUUUCCUUUUUCUUUGUGAAACCGAGCCCCUCUAAGGUAUUGAUGGUAAAGUUUCAAUUUAGUUCUUAUUUCUUUGUUUUAUUUCGAUUCUUUGUUUGCCAUUCUAAUUUCUAUACUUCCGGCAUAUCUUGACGGACCAUGAAACGCAGCUUCCCAACGAAGUUGAGAGUGGGGGCUAGUUUAGUUUUCACUUAUUUGUUUCUUUUCUUUUUAAUUUUAUCUAUUUCCUGGGUAAUUGUUGAUGGACAUAUUGCUAGAAGGUUGAGUUACUUCGUCUAAUUCAAAAGCCUAACUAGGGUGAACUUCAAUAUUGAGCUGUUUUAACAAAGAGGAUUGAACCCAAAGGAUUUCAUUUUCCUCUCUAGAUUGUCCUUCUGCAGGUGAUUGAGGUCAGCUAUUUUCUUCCACCCAACAGCCACAAUAGCCUCUGGUGUACUUGUGCGUGCGUUGGCGUGCGUGUGGUAUGGUAUUGGAUAUGGACAGGACGGGUAAACACGGCUUGAGAGACACUCGCUGGGACCCGGUCAUUUAUGGAUAAGUCGGAGUAGACACGGCUUGAGAAACACUCGCUGGAACCCCGCAUUUGGUUUAUUAAGUGAAAGUCUAACUUGAAAGACACUCGCUGGCAGAGGUUAGAUUAAGAGAGCUGUAUAGGAGAUCAGCUCCCAUUUAUGUACUGUUUGAACAGUGUUGGGUGUGUGAGUGCUCCAAAUUGCCUUUUUGCUGUUAUGAUAUGAUGUGUAUAAAAAUUUUGAUAGUGUUGCAUUCCACUCUUUAGGAUGCAUUAGCUUUAGAUAGCUAUAGAAAUUGUACUUAAAAUUGGUAUUUUACUCUCUGAGUCGAACGCUCACUCCUGUUCACCAUAUUUUUUCAGACUA